rnacentral:rRNA from 1 species
UACGGAGGAUGCGAGCGUUAUCCGGAUUUAUUGGGUUUAAAGGGUGCGUAGGCGGUUCGUUAAGUCAGCGGUAAAAUUGCGGGGCUCAACCCCGUCGAGCCGUUGAAACUGGCAGACUUGAGUUGGCGAGAAGUACGCGGAAUGCGCGGUGUAGCGGUGAAAUGCAUAGAUAUCGCGCAGAACUCCGAUUGCGAAGGCAGCGUACCGGCGCCAGACUGACGCUGAGGCACGAAAGCGUGGGGAUCGAACAGG